UCUAGAAGCUUCGGCAAUGGGGGAAACCCUGACCGAGCGACGCCGCGUGCAGGAUGAAGGUCUUCGGAUCGUAAACUGCUUUCGCUGGGGGAGAAAUGCCUGGAGGUGAAUAAUCUUCAGGUUAGACGGUACCCAGUAAAGAAGCCCCGGCUAAGUCCGUGCCAGCAGCCGCGGUAAUACGGGCGGGGCGAGCGUUGUUCGGAUUCAUUGGGUGUAAAGGGUGCGAAGGCGGUCGUCUAAGUCGAAGGUGAAAUGUCUACGGCUCAACCGAGGCAUUGCCUCCGAUACUGGACGACUUGAGUGCGGAAGGGGAGCGUGGAAUUCCUGGUGUAGCGGUGAAAUGCGUAGAUAUCAGGAGGAACACCGGUGGCGAAGGCGACGCUCUGGUCCGCAACUGACGCU
rnacentral:rRNA from 1 species